rnacentral:lncRNA from 1 species
CUUCUCGCGUUGCUGAGAGGAAAAGCAGGAUCACGAACGAUGGCACGUUCAGCCUUAGCGACGAAGGUGAACCCGGGAUCCGAGCGACGCCACAGACUUCCCCAAGAGAGCGUCGAGGGCACAGGUUGCUGCGUGUCAAGGAAUUGUUUCUUCUCCAUAUACCCAAUUCCCGUGCUUCCUAAUAGUUAUCAGAUAGAUAAUUAUUCUGGCGGCAAUCGAAGAUGUGGCCAAAGGUGAUCAUUCUCCUUCCGCUGCUCCUUGCCUCGGGUGUGACAGCACAAUCCACAACAUUAGGAACAACGACUGAGCAAUUGCCAACGACUAGCUCUUACUGUUCAUUUCGAC